rnacentral:rRNA from 1 species
CCUACGGGUGGCAGGGGGGAAUAUUGGACAAUGGGGGCAACCCUGAUCCAGCCAUGCCGCGGGUGUGAAGAAGGCCCUCGGGUUGUAAAGCACUUUCAGUGAGGAAGAACGCCUGGUGGUGAAUACCCAUCAGGAAAGACAUCACUCACAGAAGAAGCACCGGCUAACUCCGUGCCAGCAGCCGCGGUAAUACGGAGGGUGCGAGCGUUAAUCGGAAUUACUGGGCGUAAAGCGCGCGUAGGUGGCUUGAUAAGCCGGUUGUGAAAGCCCCGGGCUCAACCUGGGAACGGCAUCCGGAACUGUCAAGCUAGAGUGCAGGAGAGGAAGGUAGUAUUCCCGGUGUAGCGGUGAAAUGCGUAGAGAUCGGGAGGAAUACCAGUGGCGAAGGCGGCCUUCUGGACUGACACUGACACUGAGGUGCGAAAGCGUGGGUAGCAAACAGGAUUAGAUACCCUUGUAGUA